UACGGAGGGUGCGAGCGUUAUCCGGAUUUACUGGGUUUAAAGGGUGUGUAGGCGGGCUGGUAAGUCAGGGGUGAAAUCCCGGAGCUCAACUCCGGAACUGCCUUUGAUACUACUGGUCUUGAAUAUUGUUGAGGUGGGCGGAAUGUGUCAUGUAGCGGUGAAAUGCAUAGAUAUGACACAGAACACCGAUUGCGAAGGCAGCUCACUGGGCAAUGAUUGACGCUGAGGCACGAAAGCGUGGGGAUCAAACAGG
rnacentral:rRNA from 1 species